UUCCAAUCAAAAGAUAGAUCGUCUUCUUCUCCUCCUUCCCACCAAAGUGAUUUGUGAUUUGAGCAAGUUUUGAGCAAUCCCCGUGAUCUUGUUACUCUUGGAGGUUGGAGACUCCUAGGCGGUAGGAGUCUUCGGAGAGGAAUCAAACCAUUGUGAUUUCCCCCGGAAAGUUUGUGAAGGUUUGGAAGCCACCUCAAGGUUUACCACUAGUGGUUGAGAAAUGCCUUCGUGGAG
rnacentral:lncRNA from 1 species